rnacentral:rRNA from 1 species
UAGGGAAUCUUCCGCAAUGGGCGAAAGCCUGACGGAGCAACGCCGCGUGAGAGAUGAAGGUCUUCGGAUCGUAAAACUCUGUUAUUAGGGAAGAACAAAUGUGUAAGUAACUAUGCACGUCUUGACGGUACCUAAUCAGAAAGCCACGGCUAACUACGUGCCAGCAGCCGCGGUAAUACGUAGGUGGCAAGCGUUAUCCGGAAUUAUUGGGCGUAAAGCGCGCGUAGGCGGUUUUUUAAGUCUGAUGUGAAAGCCCACGGCUCAACCGUGGAGGGUCAUUGGAAACUGGAAAACUUGAGUGCAGAAGAGGAAAGUGGAAUUCCAUGUGUAGCGGUGAAAUGCGCAGAGAUAUGGAGGAACACCAGUGGCGAAGGCGACUUUCUGGUCUGUAACUGACGCUGAUGUGCGAAAGCGUGGGGAUCAAACA